GACGAACGCUGGCGGCGUGCUUAAUACAUGCAAGUCGAACGGAAAGGCCCUGCUCUUGCGGGGUGCUCGAGUGGCGAACGGGUGAGUAACACGUGAGUAACCUCCCCCUGACUUUGGGAUAACUUUAGGAAACAGGGGCUCAUACCGGAUAGGAGCUCCUGCUGCAUGGUGGGCGUUGGAAAGUUUCGGCGGUUGGGGAUGUACUCGCGGCUUACCAGCUGGUUGGUGGAGUAGUGGCUUACCAAGGCUUUGACGGGUAGCCGGCCUGAGAGGGUGACCGGCCACAUUGGUACUGAGAUACGCCCCAGACGCCUACGGGAGGCAGCAGUGGGGAAUAUGGCGCAAUGGGCGGAAGCCUGAUGCAGCAACGCCGCGUGCGGGAUGACGGCCUUCGAGUUGUAAACCGCUUUCGCCUGUGACAAAGAGUGAGUGACGGUAAUGGGUAAAGAAGCACCGGCUAACUACGUG
rnacentral:rRNA from 1 species